CUUACCUAAAGUCCCAGAAAAGGGUAAAGAGAGAUUAUUUUUACAUGUAAUUUUUUUUAAUCCAUCAAGUCUCUCAUCACAUUUUGUCUAGAGGGCUUCAAUCUAUCUGAGUCAUGUGUUUGAAAGGAAAUUCACGAAGUGUAUGAAAUGUGUGCUAAUGGACCUCUUUAUCAUUCCACAGCAUUCCUGGAUAUGGAAUAUAAUUCCGUAUUGUUUCAGCACAAGAUAAUUUGGACAUAGACAAAGACUGUGCCCACAACCAUCUUCAAACCCUUACUAAGGAAAUGGAUAGAAACCUUUCUUGAUUACCAAAGAGUCAUCUAAUUUGUUUUUGUGGUCUGGAGAAACCGUUCCCAAAGUUGCCUCCUUGAAAUUCAGCAUCUGCUUGUUCUAAGCAGAGGAAACUAGAGCACACUUUUCAGUGUGUUAAUGUUCA